rnacentral:rRNA from 1 species
AGCGAACGCUGGCGGCAGGCCUAACACAUGCAAGUCGAACGGAAGCACCGUAAGUGCUUGCUGUUACGGGUGGAGAGCGGCGGACGGGUGAGGUAUGCACCGGAAUCUACAUUUUCGCGGGGGCUAACGUAGGGAGAGUUACGCUAAGACAGGAUACGACCCACGGGUGAAAGCAGGGGAUCUUUGAACCUUGUGCGAUUGGAUGAGCCGCUGUAGGACUAGCUAGUUGGCGGGGUAACGGACCACCAAGGCGACGAUCGGUAGCGGGUCAGAGGGGAUGGUCAGCCACACGGGAAGUGAGACACGGCCCAGACUCCUGCGGGAGGCAGCAGUGGGGAAUAUUAGGCAAUGGGCGCGAGCCUGAUCCAGCCAUACCGCGUAGGUGAUGAAGGCGCUCUGGUGGUAAAGCCCUUUUGUUGGUAGGAAAAAGCAGCAGUUUAAUACCCCGCUGUUCUGACGGUACCCGAAGAAGAAGCACCGGCUAACUUCGUG